rnacentral:rRNA from 1 species
CGUGUAGGCGGCUGGAUAAGUCAGAUGUGAAAUCCCUGGGCUUAACCCAGGAAGUGCAUUUGAAACUGUUCGGCUUGAGUAAGGGAGAGGAAAGUGGAAUUCCUGGUGUAGAGGUGAAAUUCGUAGAUAUCAGGAGGAACACCGGUGGCGAAGGCGACUUUCUGGCCCUAUACUGACGCUGAGACGCGAAAGCGUGGGUAGCAAACA